AUGCUUCUUGUUCAAUCUGUACUCUGUGCAAUUCCGCUGCACGCGAUGAUGGCGCUCGACCUCCCACAGAAGACAAUUUCAGCAAUGAACAGAAUAUGCCGCAGCUUCUUAUGGUGCGCUGAGUCAAGCUCGUCUGGCGGAAACUGCGCAGUCGCUUGGGAGGCUGUGUGUGCCCCCAAAUGGGCGGGUGGAUUAGGCAUACCCAACCUAGGGUGGAUGAACAAAGCUGUGCAGGCCAGGUGGCCUUGGUUACAGAGAUCAGACACAUCGCGACCAUGGGCAGAAUUUGACAUCACAGUACCAAAAGCUUCAAGACAACUCUUCAACGCGGCUGCUCGCUGGGUUCUCGGCGACGGAAAUACAACACUCUUUUGGGAAGAUAGAUGGCUCGAAGGACACCGGAACGUGGAGAUUGCACCCUUGACCUACGACCGAGUCAGGAAGAAAACGAGGAACACAUGCACCGUAGCCCAGGCCCUACUGAAUGAUGGUUGGGUCACCCAAGUAAGCCCGGAGGUAUCAACUGACUCGCUAAGGGAAUAUCUACAGCUAUGGAACAUGAUCCAAGAACUUCAACUUGACCCAACGCAACAUGAUACCAUCACUUGGUCAUGGGAAGCAAGCGGAUGCUAUUCAGCGAGGACUGUCUAUGCAGCCAAAUUCUAG
rnacentral:rRNA from 1 species